GCUCGUGUGGUGAAGUAGCAACACGCCUCCUUAGGGUGGAGGAGAUCCUGGGUUCAAACCCCAGCUCGAGCU